AUGGGUUAGUUUUUUUAUCUAUUCUUCUAGCUCUUCAAUUCUAACCUUCUAAUUAUCAGUAAGCUCAACAAAAAGACCUUUCUCAUAAAUUAAUAUUUUAUUUUAUUUUCAAGUUGGAGUAUCCUUUUGGCAGUAUCAUCCUUCUAUAAUUUCUUAGCCUGCAUUGCAGUCAUAUUUUUUUUAUCUUCAUUAUCCAUACUUUUAUGAAUAUC
rnacentral:lncRNA from 1 species